AAUUAGUAUAAAUAAUAUUUGUGGUCAGAUGUUAUAUCCAGCAGUGCAGCGUAAAACAGCUGAUCGACAGAACGGGGAGGAGCUCUGAAACUUUGUUGCCAACAGCUGGUUCCUGCGUUUUCACCCAGUGAAAGCGGACACCGCUUCCAGUCCAGGUCUUUUGGACGUUUCUGCGUCCGUGCGCGAGAUUAACGACUUUGUGACAAUGGCGAGCUGGAAAAGUCACGUGCGUGCUCGACUGCAACUAAGAGACCACACUGAGAAACGUCCGUUUGUUGGCGUUUUCAGCAGCUUGUCUCAGCUGGAAGAACGUUUCGAAGCAAGGAAACAAUUUUUGGGAGAAGUUAAAUCUGAAAGUCAGGAACGUGGUGCAGUGGACGUUGCGAUAAACACCAGACUUCUGCAGCUCCAGCUGAAAGAGAGCGAACACUUUGCAGACAAGCUGUCUCAGACCGUCUCUGACCUGACCUCUGUUCUGUAUGUGAAAGAGGCUGAAGUGCAAUAUUGGCAGUCACGUGUGUCCCAGUAUCGUGAGGAAGCACUGACUCUGGCCAAAGGGAGCAACGGCCUGAAAGCAACCCUUGCACAACUGGACUUCACCAUUGAGUGUCAGGCCAAAGAACUGGGGGCUCUGCGUGCCGAGCGGGACAGAGUCCAGGCAGAGUUGGCUCAAGCUCGGAGAGAGAAGGACGAGCUCCUGCAACGCUGGAUGGAGGACAAGCGGGAGGAGGCCGACAGGCUGAAUAAUUACAACGACAUCCAGGAAAGGUGGCAGCGUUUAACCCAACAGCUGAGGAAGCAUCUCCAUAAGGAAGCAAAGGCCCACGUUCCCACAGUGGCCAGUGGUGCCACAGCGGCAGACGCUCCGCGUUCUCACCAGGACAUAUGCUCAGUGAAGUAGAUGCUCUUAAUGUGACUAAUCGCCAUUCACUGGUGUCCACACUAAUCCUCAGCAGCCCAUCAAGACGGAGACGUCCAAGUGAACAGAUAAUUAUCCUGAAUGCCAUGUAUUUAUGAAACCAAUGAACCAUUACUGGCAAACACUGUACUAGACUGGUGGAGGAAGACACAUUAGUAACACGUGUGAUGCACUACAAGCAG
rnacentral:lncRNA from 1 species